CGUCUAUAUACGUAUAGCAUAUCAAUAAGCGGAGGAAAAGAAACUAACUAGGAUUCCCUCAGUAACGGCGAGUGAAGCGGGAAGAGCUCAAAUUUGAAAUCUUCAAGGUUCUACCUUGACGAAUUGUAGUUUAAAGAAGUGUUUUCUGUUGAAGUUUUCGGUAAAAGUUCUUUGGAAUAGGACAUCAUAGAGGGUGAGAAUCCCGUAUUUGACCAGUUAUUUCCAACUUUGUGAUACACUUUCAAAGAGUCGGAUUGUUUGGGAAUGCAGUCCAAAAUGGGUGGUAAAUUUCAUCUAAAGCUAAAUACUGGCGAGAGACCGAUAGCGAACAAGUACCGUGAGGGAAAGAUGAAAAGAACUUUGAAAAGAGAGUUAAACAGUACGUGAAAUUGUCAAAAGGGAAGUGUUUGACACCAGUGUUGUUUUCUCGAAAAUCAAUUAAAAAUGGUGGGAUUUUGUGUUGUAUUGACUUUAUCAGCUUUCUGCACUUUUUUCCUAUCUUUUUUAAUGCACUUUUCGUUUAACAAGUCAACAUCAAUUUCUUUUGUUGUAAAAGAGUCAUUGGAAGGUGGCUUUCUUUUCGGAGAAAGUGUUUAUAGCCUUUGACUUCUGCAAUCGGAGAGAUUGAGGUCUGCAGCGUAGAUCCUUCGGGGUUAGAUGCAUUUGUGCUAAGCUAUAGCCUUUCAUAGACAACUUGUUGACUAUGAUCAGUCAUGUAGCUUACUCGCUUAUGCUAUUUUACCUACGCUUAGGAUGUUGAUCUGUAGUGCGUGCGC
rnacentral:rRNA from 1 species